GUCCAGACUCCUACGGGAGGCAGCAGUCGGGAAUAUUGCGCAAUGGAGGCAACUCUGACGCAGUGACGCCGCGUAUAGGAAGAAGGUUUUCGGAUUGUAAACUAUUGUCCACAGGGAAGAAAAAGACUGUACCUGUGAAGAAAGCUCCGGCUAACUACGUGCCAGCAGCCGCGGUAAUACGUAGGGAGCAAGCGUUAUCCGGAUUUAUUGGGUUUAAAGGGUGCGUAGGCGGGAUGCCAAGUCAGCGGUCAAAUACGGGGGCUCAACCUGCGUCCGCCGUUGAAACUGGCGUUCUUGAGUGGGCGAGAAGUACGCGGAAUGCGUGGUGUAGCGGUGAAAUGCAUAGAUAUCACGCAGAACCCCGAUUGCGAAGGCAGCGUACCGGCGCCCGACUGACGCUGAAGCACGAAAGCGUGGGUAUCGAACAGGAUUAGAUACCCCAGUAGU
rnacentral:rRNA from 1 species